rnacentral:misc_RNA from 1 species
AAAGUUUAGUUUAGUUGAGUUGAAUCAUUAGUUGCUGCUUUCUUAUUUGUAAUUGAAACUUAUUUUUGAUGAUUUGACUGACAUAAUCAGUCAGUUUGCUUUACUCUUAUUUGAGCUGCUUAGCUGUGUGCUAAAAUAGAAAACGUUAAGUUUAGCUUGCCAGCCUAGAAAGAUGUGUCAAACUGCAAACAUGGAGUAUCAACUUUUGAAACUGCCAUCAGAUAUGGGUAUCAUAUUGGAUGCUUGAUUGUUUACUGAAUGCUAGUAAUAGCAAGUAUGUUCUCCCUCAUGUUUUCGUGUCUAAUUUAAGACAGAAUUCUAUAUAUGUCAGGA